rnacentral:lncRNA from 1 species
GUGAUUUCCCUUCCAGCCUUAGGAGAGUCUCAGAGAGCAUUGACACAGGGUACCUACACUUCAUGGUGUUCCCUUACAACACCCCCCCCCGGGGGGGGUGUCGGCCGGACCCCUUUCUCUAAUUGUCUCCGUGGCCUGUAUGGAGGAACAUCUAGUUUGUUCAGGCCUAUCUCGUCACGUGACUCACCCCCUUCCACUGGCGGCUGCUGCAUCGCUGUCCUCCGGCAGCUAUUGUGAAAGUUUUUGAGUGCCCUGCUAACGGUUAUAAAAAGCUCUUGCUUCAAGGGUCGGCCGUCAAGGGGAUCCUACUUUCUGUGCUUCACCUCCCGUGGUUUGUGCACUUGCCUAACUUUGAGUGGCCGGAUCCCUUGUUCCUCACAAUGGCUUUGGUACUAAGACCUGGCGUGGGAAUCAAGGUGAAAUAGUAUUUGCUAAGUCCUUCAUUACGCUUCAUCGAGUCUUUACUAAAGGGCACGGAAGAAGUAGUGAAGACCUCUGGGCUAAGGACCCCUUUACUCCCUUAGCUUCUCAGGGCUCCUUCCCACAUUGCUUCCCAGGAAUUCUCCAUCCACGUGGCCUGCUCUCAUGGCUUGGAUGAGGUCAUCUUCUCCUAUGUGCUUGGGGUCCUGGAGGACCUGGGCCCCUCAGGGCCAUCAGAGGAGAACUUUGAUAUGGAGGCUUUCAUUGAGAUGAUGGAGGCUUAUGUGCCUGGCUUUGCCCACAUCCACAGGGGUAUAAUAGAAGACAUGGUGCAGACGCUCUCGGUGCA